UCUCUCAACGAAUUGCCAAGAAGUUACCCACCAUAGAACGCUUGAUAUCUAAUAUACUGACAUGGUGUUGAGUGAAUUACACUUGCGUUUAAAACAGGAUGCCUCCAAUCGAGAAGGAGAGGAAAGAAAAGACGGAAAGAUUGUGAGUAGAAAGCAGCAGUUCUUUUUUUCUUUUUCUUUUUUCCUGCGUUGGACAUGUGCAAAUAUUAAUGCGGCAAAUGACAGACGAAUCCUAAUUGAAGGGGAAGGCGAAAAGGCACAAACAAGGCAAGAGAGGACGAAGCAGCAGUCAGACGAGCGAAGAUUUAUCUGCUCUUCCUUUUCUUUUUUCCCCGUUAAGACUAAUUGAAGAGUUCAACCACUCCGCACCAAAUUAAAGAACUCCCUGCUAGUCAUCAUACUUUUAUAAUUGUGUUUUGGAAGCGUCUGCACGUGGAGGGAGGGUUAAUCGCCAUAGACCAGUCCUUCACCAGCACUGAUAGAUGAAAAGGUUAAAAGGUUAGGGACUUAUUUGUGGUGGCACUGUUUAGGAACCCAAGGACGCCUUAGGGUUUCCAGUUACUGUAUGAAUGAGGGAGGGUAGGCAGAGAGAGAUCAGAGAUCACGUGUGUGUGUGUGUGUGUGUUUAGGCCAAAAGAGCAGAGCUAUAGAAAGGGUUGUGGUCAUUCGUGUAAACAGCACUUGGGCCUUUAUCCCUUUUCGUCAUUGCCUCGGGACGUCAGAUGCCAAUUUCUACCCCUCUCUCUCUCUUGUUACCUUCCACCACCACCUCUCCCCGGCCUUUCUCUUUCUAUAUCCUGCCCGCCUUGCGAGUCCUCGGUUUCCAGGUCCCUCUUCCCCCGACCUUCCUCCCGUCCCUGCGGCGUCAUCACUCGUUUCAUUCAUAUCGUGAUGAUGGCGGUCAUCAUUCCGUUGCAGGAGGGAAGCGGGAAGCUUUUUUGCAGCGACAACUUCGGAAGAAACCCUAAACUUUUAAGCGGAACUUUUGGGAGGUUUUUUUUUGUGUUUGUGGGGAAUGUUGUCUGGCUCGAGGCCGGUCUCACGUGUAUGCGAAGACAACCGGUUUCCAUCUCUUCUCUUUUUCUCUGGUACCGGUGUUGUUUUCUCGUGUGGCCGUUCUCGGACCAGGCUUCAUUCCCCCCAAAUCCUACUCCCCAUUAACGCCAUGGCCCUCGAACUCCCUGAACACUCGCGGUAUAUAAUAUAGCAAAGGUUUGUCGCCAUUUUUCGUUUUUAUUUUCAUGUUCCUACUGUUUUUCUUUUAGCUCUCUAGUCGGCAGGGGGAAAUGAUGGUGAGAGACCUGAAGUUUAUGCAAUGGCGAGAUUGGUGCAAUGAUGUAGGCUGGAUGGAGUCCCUUCACGCUCUGUUGAUGAAGCCUACUUGUUUAUUUUCCUUGUGAACGAGGGAUUAGGUGAUCCGUUACAUUUUCUGGUUGUGUUCCGCAGAUGUGCACGUUUUAGGUAAGUGAAUUAUUUGUUGGAGCCUUUGGGGGCCUUGUCAUCUUCAUUGGUUCACAUUCUAUUUCUGUGAUGUCUCCAAAUCAGCGUCUGUACCAAAGUUUGAACCAGAAUAUGAUAUGAUUCUUUGGCAUGAAGUAGCUAGUUGGCUCCCUUGUUGAUAUAAAGAAGGUUACUAGGGUCUAGGGUGCAUUAUGUUGGUAUCGUUUUCGUUUCCACUUCUUGUUUUCUUUUUGAUUGAACGGUACGGCAAACAGCUGUCUUCUUUAGCAGAAAGAAGAAGAAGAAGAAGAAGAAGACAUUCUGAUCUGAAUUAAUUUGGAUGUUUAUGCAUUGUGUUCAAACCACCCCACAACCAGUAAAAGCGGCAAUGGGCUUGCUUUCUAUUUUCGUGUAUGUCAAGGUUUACAUCGUGCUGCCUGAAGCACAAGCACAUGCAUUCAUAUUUCACUUGUUGGUUGAUUUCUAUGAUCAUGUAUGUUCAUGUUUAUGCUGUGCAGCAUCAAGCACACGCGCGCUAAUUCACUUAAUAUACUUGUCCGCCUUAUGGUACUCUUUUUCUAGGUUAUUCUUAGCUUCUUCAUGGGUGCAUUUUUGCCUUCUAGAAAAACUCCUAUGCCGAACAUACAUAGGUAAUCAUUGCUCUUAUACCCAAGCGGACACGAAGCCACAACUGUAUAUCUAUACACUAGAUGGGGUUAAUUCAAGCAGUGUCCUUAUCGUUUCUGAGCUUCUUAACAACUUCUUCUUCACAGUUUAGGCAUCUCACUUUGCUCAUUACACUGAUCUUUAUCUAAUGCGUGCAAAGUCGGCUGGAAGUGGGCUGGAAAAGUGGGGAAAAGGAGAUUUGAUGUGCAUGGUUGAGAGGAGAAGUAUCAUGGUGACCAUGUGAGGAACACAUGGACGGAAGAUGGGGGGGAGGAGGCCACGGGAGCUCUUUGGUCCCCAAGCUGCGCACUAGCGCGGAAGAUGGCCCGCUACGUUAUCGAUUCUUGGUCGCUGUCCAUGCAUUAAUGCGGGCAUUUAUUUGCCUUCGCCUUUUACCUUGCAUGGUACCAAAAGCAAGAAAAAGAAGGUGACUAAGUGGAAGCUAUCUUUGGCUCUAAAUGUUGACGAGAAUCAGAAUUUGAAAGCCCGUUUUUUUUUUACUCUUUUGACUCUUCCGAUGCUGUUGGGUGAAAUUUUCUUCCUCGAAAGUUUCCCUUAUUUUGUGACUGUCAUGAAGGAAUCUAAAUCAAUAUGAGAGAGAGAGAGAGAGAGAGAGGUGUUGAAAACGAUGAUGGUCAGUUGAUCAGGGAACCUUUUCGAGUGAUAUUGCUCCUCCCCAUGCUUAACUUCAACUUUAAACGUGCAGCAAUAAAGGGCGUCUCUGAGAGGAGGAAAAAACGAGGAGAAUCGUGCUGUCGUACAUGGAAACAUUAGUUAAUAGUUCUUUUGUGGAAAUCGAAACGUGUUGACUUCCUCUGUGUUGAUCUCAGAUUAGGGUUUCUCGAAGGGGCUUUCGGAGGUAACGCGCGCAGGAAGAUGAGGAGAAGGAGAGCAGCAGCAAUCACCGGGGCAAAGGGGUGUGGUCCACGUUUUACUACUGUUGCAUGGGACUGUUUGGUCGUCCGCAAUUCACAGGUGAUGAAGGUUGGCUUCGGGCGGCAGGACAUGUAAAGGACGGAGUACAGUUGCAGUGUGCUAUCCUUUGUCAGCUGCUUGGGUGGCUCUCUCUGUCUGCAUGUGCCAUUGAAAGCCUAACUUCUUGUUCCGAAGCCUCUGUAGGCGAAUCUCCUGGCCCCUUUGUGUAUGUGUGUAUGUUGAAGAAGAUGUGGGCUGACAUGCAGAUGCAGAUUUUACUCAGGGUGGUUGCUCGAGUACGCAAUCAUUUUUAUGUAAACUCUGGCGCUAUUGAUGGACUGGUUACUCACUCGUUGCUGAAAAUGAUCUGGCAUCUGCAACUUGCAGGUCCUGCUGCCCGUCCAUAAUAAUUCUGUGGUCCAAACUCCUUUUUCGUUCAUUUACAUCUAACGAGCAUGGUGGCAAAAAAUGAGCUUCCACUUUUUACUGCCACCGUCUUACCCUGUUCAUUGCAUUCACGAAUGUAAUUGUCAGGGAAGCAAAACUUGGUAGUCCAUUGCUCACUUUGGUGGCACUCAUAGGCGUUAGUGUCAUGCAGCAGAUUGCUGCCCAAUGCCGAUCGAUGAUCUAAGUGGUAGUGUAGUUGAAAUUU